CAACCUUUCCCCAGAAUCGUUUACUGCACCUUUAAGUGUUAUGGCUGUGGAGAGAUUGGCUCCUCUUGUGCACAACUGGGACUCUCUGAGUCACAGCCACCUGACUGCUGCUAUAGGUCUAUCUUGUGAGGAAUAGAGGGCUUCCAGUCAAGAAAGGAAGCUAACAGAUGGUUGGUUUUCUCUCCACCUCUGAUGACACCUGAUAUCCCCUGCAUCCCUCCAACAAAACAACACAGGGAUAAGUGUGUCCUGACUGACGCCCCGGAGACGAAUGGGGCAUACUCCUAUUGAUCCAGUCACCUCAUACAGUCCUUCACAUAGCCUCUCCAACACAUACCAUCCACGAUAAUAGCGGUAAACAUUUGAUUCAUUUUAUGUAUUUUUAUAUCAAUGAUAUAGCGACGUGAUGACGUAUGAUGUAUUGACGUUCCCUUAGAAUGAGAGCAGCGCGUUAGCCGCAGGAGUAAAUAAAGCCACAUGUUGCAAGGACGUAA